GCUAUCGACCUACCCUUUACGCGCAUGCGCGGAAUACGAAACCUUCCGAUGAUCACUCGGAAUCUUUCUGUAGAUUUCUGCGCAUGCGCACUUACACUUUCAUUUUACUUAAACCUGUCUGCAAAAUUCUUUUAUUUCAGCAAACCAUGGCAUCCCCAGUAAACACAGAGUUGAAGGUCAAGGGUGUGUGUUAUGACUAUCUUAACACUGCGGAAUGUGCUAGGAUGGACUGCAAGUUCACGCACAUACCUCCAACUGUACCAUAUAUGGAUAGUCAUUGUCAUCUGGACCUGUUGAUGACCUGGAAGCCCAAGUUGUCCUUUUCCAACAUUCCUCGGUUCCACACUUUAAGGGAGCUAUCUCCAAUUUUUCCUUUCCAAAAGCAUGGAGAUUAAUGGAUGAACUUGCACAUCCAAGGUUUGAGUGAGGUUGGAGAUUUCUUAAGCAUUCUUGAUAAUGGAGAUCAGGCUCUGCAUCUGAAGCAACUUCUGCGUUUCAUUUAUAAUAUAGUUAAAUCAACUAUGCAAGCUAUCAUCCAUACAACAUGUGACCUGUUCCAAAAAAACUAAACCUCAUCCAGCAUCCGAAACCUAUGGCUCAGAUUCAGCAUUCAAGCCUGUCUGGUGCAUCAGUAUCAUAAGACACACCAUCCAUGCAAGUUUGGUGAAGUACGGACCUGCAGUAACUUAGAUAUUGCUAUCAAAGGGCACCUGCAACAAAACUUUAACCUGGUCCAACAACCUUAACCUCCUCCAGCAUCUGAAAUUUAGGACCCAGAUUCAGCAUCCAAGUCUUUCAAGUCCAUAAGUAGGUCCAGAUGCAUCAUCCAUGCAAGUUUGGUGAAGAUAGGACAAGUAAUAGCUUAGAUACAGGACCUGCAACAAAAACUUUAACCAGGUCCGGACGCCGACGCCGAGGAUAUAGCAUAAGCUCCCCCUGACUUCGUCUCAGUGAGCUAAAAAUUAAUAUGCCUGUAUAUAAUAAAAAGUUUGACCAUAAAGAGAAAAUAAACGAAGAUCCUGUGAAAUGUUUCUCUGUCCUUAAUAGUAAUUUAGUAAAAGAGUAUACCCGUGAUUACACAUAAUGUAAAUAUAUUUGUCAUGCAUUUGCUUACCUCCCUGGGCCUCAUCAGUCAGGAAGAGAUUAGCAAAUGCAACUUAAUUACUCAAUUUGAUUCUCCUGAUACCUUCCUGGUGUUUAAAAAGGAAUAUUAAUGUUGAUAAUUAUAUUUCUGAAUGAUACCUUAUACCAGUAGAUUUAUUAAUUUUUGGGGAAAAAAAGGGUUUACCUUCGCCAAAUGUAUAAAUUAAAUUUAACAGUAAUACACAGUACCACCAGGAAGGUUUCGGCCCAUAUAUGAAAUCAUUCUAAUGAAAAAAUCUGAAACAUAAACAACAAUAUAUGGUCUGUAAAAAAGAAAAAAAUACAAAUUAGGUAACAAAAUUCUACAAGUGAUUCUGGUAACCAUAACAUUUAACUUAAAAAAUAUCAAAUAGGUUAUUUGAUUUUUGGGAGUUGAUUUUAAUCAACUCUCCUAUGCAGUUACUCUGGCAAACUGAAAGUGAAACAGUGUUUGGACCUAAGCACAAAUCAUCAUCGCUGACAAAACUUAGUUCUUGAAAAUAAUAGAAAAAUUUCGAUGUAAUGUAUGCUGAAGCAUUGUUUUUCAAGAAAACUUAUCUAUAAAUACUUUGAAAAUAGUCAGAUUUUAUAUAAUACGAACAAUUUAGAU